UACGAAGGGGGCUAGCGUUGUUCGGAAUUACUGGGCGUAAAGCGCGCGCAGGCGGUCUUCCAAGUCAGUGGUGAAAGCCUGGAGCUCAACUCCAGAACUGCCAUUGAAACUGUUAGACUUGAGUACGAGAGAGGUGAGUGGAAUUCCCAGUGUAGAGGUGAAAUUCGUAGAUAUUGGGAAGAACACCAGUGGCGAAGGCGGCUCACUGGCUCGUAACUGACGCUCAGGCGCGACAGCGUGGGGAUCAAACAGG
rnacentral:rRNA from 2 species